AUUUAUAUAAUAUAAAAAUUAUAAUUGACUUCCAAUCAGUAAAUCUAAAUUAUUUAGUAUAAAUA
rnacentral:tRNA from 1 species